GCUGACGGACGGAGAGACGGACCAAUGAGCGGUGAGACGAUACAAAUACAAAAAAACUUCUGUAAGUGUAAGGUUUUCUAUUUAUUAGUCAAUAUAUUAACAUACUAAGUCAAUAUUGUGAGAUAUUAAAUACAUUUUCAGUUACACGGAGUGCGUACAGACGGGUUUUACCGUUUCUUUUAUCACUUCAGUCUACAGCAGGGGUGUCAAACUCAAAUUCCCAGAGGGCCACACGUGAAAAUAAGAAUCACAUCAAGGGCCAGACAUGUUUAGUUUAUUCACAUGCUUUUAUUUAAUCGAAAAAGUCAAGGAUCUUUUACUGGAUUACACUGUGUCUCACCGU